GGAAAACUGGUUUUUGAAAAAUUAAAUCUAGCUAAAUCUGUACUAGAAGCUGGGCAAAAGGCACAUGGGAUCAAUGGGAUCACCAGAAAGGAGAU
rnacentral:misc_RNA from 1 species